rnacentral:rRNA from 1 species
UACGAAGGGGGCUAGCGUUGCUCGGAAUCACUGGGCGUAAAGCGCACGUAGGCGGAUUGCUAAGUCAGGGGUGAAAUCCUGGAGCUCAACUCCAGAACUGCCUUUGAUACUGGCGAUCUUGAGUCCGGGAGAGGUGAGUGGAACUGCGAGUGUAGAGGUGAAAUUCGUAGAUAUUCGCAAGAACACCAGUGGCGAAGGCGGCUCACUGGCCCGAU